UUUGAAUAAUUCUGUAUUUAAACACCUUCCACACAUCACUAGCAUCGCAUUUCAAAAUGAACGUAGUCGUUGUAACCGUUCUCUUCGCCAUUUUCUUGGGGGUCCAUUGUGUCCCCACUGAAACUGAGGUAGCUGGAGAUGUCGGGUGCCUCCUAAAAGCGAUAAAGGAGUUCACACACUGUAUUAAAGGUGUUGAGAUUGAGACUAGAGGCGAGCAGGUUUCUGAUAUGAAAGGGAAUGUGAUGCAAUGUUUGGUGAAGCUUUUCACUGAUAUGCUAGCGUGUUUGAAAUGAUCAUUGCUAUGAUGCAGCUAUUACUCAAAAAAUGAAGGCUUUCUUAAAAAGAAAAUCUUAACUAUGGACUGCUAAAUGUAAAAUAUUAUAAUUAUGUAUAUUUACCAUUGGUUGUUGGAUAUAUUUAUAUUAAAAAUAAAAUAAUUCUAUGUUUGCA